UUCAGAUGCUUCAUAGCUGAUGCUCCGGAUUGAUACCUUGGAGGUAUUCCAAGAGUUUGAAGAAGAUCCUGAAAGACAACGAUCUCUAAGACACUAUCUUAUUAACGUUGGUGGUGUCACAGCUAGAGAUGCUCUCAACCAAUUUCUGAAGGAAGCCAUGACGGGUAGCCUGACACAAAAAUUCUCUUGGACUGGAAAGUCUGUUUCAGAUAAAGAGAAUCUCCGACCGUUAUUUAAUACCUGUAUCGGAAAGGUAUUUUUUGAUGCCUUACGUGAGUGUUGAACAAUACCACAGCCACAUGAUCGUACAGAAUUUGCGAGACUGAUGCAAGAGGCAAUUCGGGGCGCACAAAAAAGAUUGCAAGAUGCAAAACGACGUGCCAUUCGCUCUGUCCAUGUGGAGGGUCGCAGACAAAAAUAUAUGGCUGAAAUGGCUCAUCGUUACGAGGUUGAACACCCAGGACAAUGACACUGCGGAAUAAGAGACCCACAAUUUGCCUAUUAAAGAUCCUACGUGUAUUCAAACAUACGUACCUAUGUACUUUGUUUGACUAAGAAAUAUUUUAGUACGUAUAGCUGUGAUGUUAGUUUUUAUGUUUAUGCUCAAGCAUAGUAUUUAUAAUUGGUACUGCAGCUGUGAUAUCCACAAGUGACAUGUAACUAUAUGUUUUCCAAUGAAACAUUAUACCUAUAUCAACAAAUGCGGCGGGUUUGUACUAACAUAGCUAACAUUUAGAUACUGUAGACGCUUUUGGUAUCUGGUAUAAAUUUUAGUCUUCUGACAUUUAUAUAAAGUAUUAAUUUUUAUUUUUUGAUUUCAAACACUUUAUUAUUAUCUACUGUUCUACUCAUUUGAUAUCAGUUUAUCAAUACUAUUAUAAACUGUAGUUAAUAAUUUUAAGCUACAACGUAUAAAAAUGUAACUAAAGACAUAUUUAUAUUAAUAACCGUACAACAGUAGAAGAGACCCUCUCUUCUAGUCUUGUUGUAGACAUAGAUUUGUGAGUCAGUGUUUUUCUUGUUCAUUUUUUCUCGCGAGUAACUGUAACACGUUUAUAACUAAUUAUCUUUAAGUAAAAGUAAAAAAUAUGCAGACUUAUAUUAUACCUAUAUAUGUAUAUGGGUGUAAUAUAUCAUAUAUUUUACUAUAGCCGCAUAUUAAUAAUAUAAAAUAUAAAUAUUAAUAUAAUUAUAUAGUAUAACGAUUAUAGUCAACGAAUGACCUGCCAUGUUCUGUGAUUU